AUUUCUUUCUUUUUAUAUAUUUUAUAUAUUGUUAGUUAAGGUAAUACCAUCCAGAUAUAUGAAUACCUAUAAAGUUUUGUUGUUGUCUUACCUUCGAGGAGAGAGAGCCUUCCGCUAACCCCAGAAAUGUCAUCCCCAGUUCUUCUCGGCUGUCCUUAAGACCACUUCGGUCUGGCUUGUAUGAAGUCGUGAUCAAACCGCUGACUGGAAUGUCAUGCAGUGAACAGUGAAAACCAAGAUGGCGGACGUGGAAAACCCAGCUGAAGCAUCCAACAGGAAAAAACAGUCAGCGCCAACUUCAGACACGUCAGAGCCUGGAGCUAGAUUUUCCUGGGCACAGCAAGAAGUAAACACAUUUGCAAUGACCAGGAAUUUUUCUUUGCUGUACGGGUUCUGAAGUCGCUGGAGUCAAGUGCUUGAAGUCUGGCUCCAUAGGGGAUGGAGGAUCGCUUCAAGGAGUCGUUCUAUGGAAAGAAUGAUAUGAUGCGGAUAUGAUAUGAAUUCGUAUCUACGUGCGGAAACCUCUAUCGAAGUAGAAGACUCCUGGAGAAAUUUCGCUGGACUAGCCAGUGUCAUUGGAUUCUUUUUCAACGCUCAACAAAGCCCUCGGAGGUGUUGCCCUCCUGCUUCACCUGACUCUAUCUCAGAAACAGAUUCUAGUCUGGGCACGCUAUGAGCAUGGGUGCUGUUAUUGUCAUAAUUGCACUGGUCAUCAAAAGUUUCAUUUUUCUGCUUCUCAAAAACACCACUUUUGAAUGUGCCAAGGCUUUAACGGCAUGCCUGGCAAAGAAAAUUCGGCUCGCAGAUUGAUCGCAAAUGGAAACUGAAUUUUGUUAAACUGACUAGGCGUUUUACUUUCCGCCUGACUGAAAUUUAGUAGCAGCAGUCUAUGAAAGCGCACCAAAUUUUGUUCGCUCAGCAAAUUGAAGGGCGCAAAUUGAGAGAGUGUUCUUCCUAGGAGCAAUAUGGCAAAUGAACUAAGUUCGUUUUUUUCAUUGGCCAAUGGACCUUAAUUGAGUUAAGCUCGUGCAAGACUCCAAAGCCGCCCAAGGUAACAAAUAAAUCAUAAUUCAGUGAAUAUCGAACCGUUUUUGAUCUUCAAGCACUCUUUGGAAACUUAGAAUAAAGAAAGCUGUCAUACUGAAGUUGACCAUGCGUAGCGCAAAACUAAUGCUGUGUUUAAGACCAAAAUUUCUUUUGUUUGGUGUGCAUAUGUUAUCCAUUUCUGGACGAAGUGUUGUCUGUGCUCGGGUUGAAAACUUUUGGGCGCUUAGACUUAGCAAAAAAAUCGAAUAUAUUAAUUGAUUAAUUUUAAAUUAUCGUCAGAGCUGUUUCUGCAUUAUUGAAUAAAAAGUAAGUUCACUUACCAAAGAUAGACAGUGAAAUUCCUUGAGGAUGAGGGAAAUAAAACCUGAAAUAAAUUCAAUAGUACUUUAGAGGUCUGAAGAUCAUGAAAUUAAAUUCUAAAAUAAAUGCUCAAUUGUAUACAGCACAAAUAACUGCAAAAUCUUUUUUUUAAAUAAGGGCUAGAACAUCAUUUUAAUACAUACCUUAGAGACUUCUGGAAGUACUAAGGCCAAUCAGCAGUUAAACCAGCACGGAAUGCGCUUUGUCAAAAUGAAAUCAGCUUAGAUUAAUCGAUUUGUUACAUGGAAUUUCAUAGAUAAAGAGCAAAUUGCAGAAUUUUUACCUGAAUAGAUCUAUUUGAGUUUGGUUACUCAAUAUCAGUCAAUAACUCAGCACUGUUUAGGCACUGUGGAAAAAGAUUUCUGUAUUUUAGAACUUUUUGCAACAUCAGUAUGGUAAAAUAAUAGACAGAAGAGAAAUCGCAACUGUUUACCUGAAUAUUCCAUGCAAAGAGCAUAGCAGACUAUCUGGUUCAUAAUUCUGUGAAUGAAGCACAUACAGCAAAUGAACAUCGUGGACACUAAGUCAUGAAUCUGAUAGUAAUGAUAUUUCAAUUUACCCUCUAGAGCUGGCUUUAGAAGAACAAUGUAUCCAAUAAGGGAACACAAGUAAACUUGGAUGAAUUUCGAAUGGAAAGGAUAAACUAAACUAAAAUUGUCGAUAAGAAAUCUCAGUAGGACAAUUUCAUAGUAGUAGCAGACAAAAGAGGCCAAAACAUGGCCAAGUUUCGUUUUUACACACAAAUUUGAUACCUCCAAAUUCAUCCAAUAAGAAGCUCAGACAUAACUGCAGUAUCUGUAACGUAAACCUGAGUUAUGUAACAACAGCGCGUAUUGUGCGCAACUUAUGUUACAAAAACAGUUGAUCUCACGAAAUGAUCCUAGCUGCCAAACUACCAAGUCUGUGGUUAUGAGAUUGUUUCUUUUAUUAAGUUGCUAAACUGUUAGUUUUCUGCCAAAUAAAAUCGAAAAGAAAUCUAGGAAAGGAAAUAAUUCGCAGUUAAAAUUCCCACGCAUUUGCAUGUCUGAUUGCGUGGAUUGCAUGCGAAAUGUGCUACAGGAAUGACAACCAGAAAAUCAACUCUUUCACACAAGCUGCAAUGAAAAUGCAAUAUUUAGGUGAUUAAGAUUGUGUUGAAAUGUGGAACUUUGUACCUUAAAGAGUCCCAGCAUCUUUGGUGUAAAGUAACAUAGCGUGAAUAACAAAAUUGAUACAUGCAAAAUAUGGUAUAGCACAUCGCUGAGAUGCACAUAAAAACAGCCUAGAAGUAGUUGGAAAUUUCCUUACUGAUUGUUCUUUUUCCAAAUUUGAACGCAGAAUUUCAUUUACUACAAUUUAUUCAUGUGUUAAAAUGAUAGCACUACCUGCUGCAUAGAAAGCUUUAAAAUUCUUCACCUUGGAAUGCUUGAAUCAGGCAAAAAACUGCACACUUAAUAGAAACACCAAAGUUGAAAAUUGACAAAACUUGCUGAAUCAUUGGCCACUGGAUUGUGUCAAAGACUUUGCAAAAGUCAAGCUGGGGGAGAAUGCCUGGUAUAUUUUCCAGUUCCGUCUGUUCUAAGAGGUCACGUAGUAGAUGUAUACUCUGACCAAUAAAUCUGUCUUUCAUAAAGCCUGUUUGGCCAGUAUGUAUUGGCUGCAGAAGUACCUCUUUAAUUUGUGUAGCUAUUGCUUUGGAUGCAAUCUGGUAGUCAACAUUUAACAGGGUUAUUGGCCGCCAAUGUGUGAGCUUCAGAGUGUCAGAAUCUGCCUUUAGAAUAAGGGUGACAACCCCCCUUCUCUGUGAAAUUGACAGCUCCCCAUUCGAAUAUGCUGUGUUAAGACUUUCAACUAGCUUGCUAGGUAGAAGCUCAAAGAACUUUGUAUAGAACUCUAUUGUAAAGCCAUCUUCACCUGGUCACUUACUGAAAUUGAAGUCUUUUAAAAUCGACGGCAUUCUGUGAAGGUUAAUUCUCCUUCUAAAUUUCUUUAGGGUUACAACAAAUUGAAAGAAAAAAUGUAAUUCAUUGUCAGUUUGUGAAGUUUAUGCACUUUAUCAUCAAAGAAGAAUGUCCAGUAGCAGCUAUACUUACCACAAUACUCCACGGAAAGGGCUAGCUGGCCACGCAGUGCCAGGGGCACAGGUGACAGCGUCAGUGACGCUGUCACCCUGCCCCUCUCCAAGACAAGAGUCAAUUGGAAAAUAUUCCAUUGAAGGAAACAGACCAACUUCACCAUUUUUCUCUGAAAAAGAAAUAGAAUCACAAAAUUUUAUUGCGCAGCUCGGAUACUAGCUGUUAUAACAUUAUUGAGAGUUGAUAACAAAGGCUACAAAAUGGUUCACAAACACAGAAUGCUUUGUAUUUGGAAAAAUGUAAGGCGUAGAUGCAUAUAUGAAAAUAAUUACCAUACCAUAAAUCACAUACAAUAACAUAGCAACCAAAGUAAGGUCUGUUGGGCGGUUCCUUUUUUUCUGGGUACGAGUCCCCUACCCCCCCUUUACAUACCCAUUUGACUGUACUGUUGUUGUCAGAAAUGAUGUCAUUACAUUGUGUUAAGAGUAGUCCACAUAGCACACAUAUUAUCUCUUUCCCCCCUCAAACCGGCCCUCCCUUGCUGAUUUCAAUGUUUCUUCCUUUUAUUUCUCAUGUGUGUCUUGUACUUAAGCUAGGAAGUGAUUUGCACUCCCUGCUAGUUACCUGCACAAUACUGCGCCUCAGACACAGAAAACAUGUCACUUUUGAACGCGACAACGUAACAAGACGCAAUAUCCCCGAAGUGCGAACAAAACCUAAGCUACCAUGCCAUUUCAAACAAAUUCUGAAACACCCAAAGUGACCUAAUUACGCCAAUUGGGGUUCUUUCUUGCACUGCGUUGAUCAAUUACCACUGGCCGAUUGCUGUUUUGUUGACCACACAAAUUGUGGCUUCUUCGAAGCUCUCAAAUGAAUAACGAUAAUUUUCUGGCAAAUUCAAUAAGCUCUCAGGUACAAUCAUGUCACAAAAACGGACAACAAUUUGAAAAAAGUUAGUGUAACGUUUAAGUUUGGUCCAUUAAACCAGAUCAUGUCUCAUGUAAGACGAUGCAUAUUGCAGCUCUUUCGCACACCUUCAAGACGUCUCUUAAGGGGCCAAUUUCUGCAGAACGUUUUGCGAGUAAUUUCAGUUAUAAGUAGGUUAUUUACGCUAUGUAAUUAACUUGGCACUCAUGCCUUUAACUCGGUUACAUUUUUAAUGUUGAAGAGGAUAUAAAUUCACACUUACCUCAAUAUUGCUACGGGUGAAUUAAUCUAACACGGCCUUUGCAUAUCUCAUUAAUAGGCUCAGUUAAAUGACAGGUGACAAUAAAAGUUGAAAUUUUUAGAAGCUUGCACUUUGCCAUUGCUGUCCGUCCCUUGUUGCAUUCUCAUUUGGUAGUUAACACGUUGUGGCCGCAAAUUUACCGAUAAUUCCUUGUUCGACGCAUAUCGUUUUUUGUUAAAUAUAAGAAAAUUUUCAGUUCGUAUGUUCCAUGCUAUCCUAUUAUUGCAAGAGUUCUGAUAAAUUAGAAAGGCAACAUCAAAGAGAGUAAAAAUAAACUUUACGACAUCUUGUCAAACGGUGUUAAAAUAACAGCUUCUCUAAUCUUGGUGCAAUAGUUCGAGUAACGAGUUUUUGAUUGAGUCAAAUUGUAUCUCACGCUCCACAUUCCAUAUACGAUUUUGUUGCGAUUGGAGAGAUAUGGAGUACCUUUUUGGGGCAAAUGGAAGCCUUCGCUCUUAACCCUUUUUUUACAUUUGUCUAUUAAUUUUCUUGAGAGGACAGCAUGCAGUAAGAAUCGAAUAUUGAAGACACAUUUUUUAUGCAUAAUAUCCAGAACAGACAACACUAAAAGGUUUGACACCAUCCGCAUUUGUUUACAGGAAGUGUUGUUUGAAACCGGCGGUCUAAAUUGAAUGAGUCAAAAGAUAACUCGUCAUUGAGCCUUUGUAUAAUUCUUAAAAGCAUUUUUUGGCUAUUGUUUCUUGUCCUUUUUUGUUCUUUUUUGUUUUUUUCGUCAGAGUAUUCAAUGUUUAUUUCAAGGCGAUGACACUCAAAUAAGCACUCAAAUAGCCAGGUGGGGUCCGUGAGAAAAAUAUAUCAUGCAAUUGAUCUUGAUGCUGAAAAGCACUUCCAACCAAAUAACUGGACUGGCCACUGGUUUUGUCUAAUGUUUCAAGAAAAAUACAGAAAACUGAAAAUAAUUUGCGUUUUUCUUAUCUAACCACUCGGCAUAAAUAGCUCUCCAUGUCUACUCGCUUGGUCUUUCUCGCCUCGUUUUCAUGCACUCGAAUCCAGGCCGCUCCGCGUGGCGGCCAUUUAUGAAUACGGUGUAUUACUUUCAAACGGAAGAUGAAUUGAUCUCACUACAUGGAUACUUAACAAGUUUUGAAGAAAUCUAAAUUCGACAACUUUUAACAAUAAAUCUUAAAUAUAAAUUUGUUUUAAAUGAAGUCUGUGAUGACAAUGAAUACUGUUGAUUUGAUUCAGAUCAAUUCACUCAGCUCGAGACCAUUACAAUGCUCACUAACUGAAACUCAAAAUAAUGUAAUGCAACUUGCCAUUUAAAGACUUACUUUUGAAACAAGACCAUGCCAAGAAAAACUACCUUUAGCUUGUGGUAAAAAUAUGAUUAAAUUUAAGAGCCCUUAUAAACACCAGUGCCAAUUCACAAAUAAUAACCUUCACAUACCUUUUAGGACUCAUACUCUAUAUUUAUACAAAGUUCUUCUUGAAAGUCUUGUUGCAAGUAUCAAUUCACCAAAGAUCGUCUUGAGAGUCUUGUUUGAACUUAAUAUUCAGUUGGGAAUAUCUUACUUCUCUCUUGAUUUCUUAAGCUAAAUAUUUUCAUUAAACAUUUCAGAAGCCUAAAAAUGACAGAAUCAUCUGCCAUCCUUUACUUAAAUCCACCAGAUUAGUAAACAGAUACAAUUAGCGCUGUAAAAUUGAUAAUUGAAAAAAUAAUACUUUCACCCAAAAGCAAAAUUCUUUUCAACAUUAUGAUAACACAAAUUUCAAUACAUUUUUAUUAUUUAACUAUUUUUGCUCUGACACCACAACUUUUCUACAUCAAAAUCAUAAUUAAGAGACUACUUAAAGGAAAUAUUUUUUAAUUCACUAAUUCAUUUUAAUUUUUCCUUGACUUCUAAAACCAAAACAAUCACUGCUGAUGGUAACAAAGAAGAUAGCAAACAAGAAAUGCUAAUAAAUAUAAUAAUUUGAUUUUUGAAUUCAAUGGACUUUACAAAAAAAUGGUAUCUUUAAGAUCUCAUCUGCAACUACAAUUUAUACCAUUUCGUUCAUUCAGUAUAAGACACUGUACUACUAUUUGAGUUUGAACAAACCAUAAUGUAACUUCUUUUCACUUCUUAGGCAGCUGCUACAUAUACAAGUGAAAGCGAUACCAUCUAACAGUCAAGAAAAGUGAUGGCUGAAAAAAAAUGGCACUUUACUUCUAAUACUUUAAUUUUUAACUAACUUCCUAAACUACAGUUGAAAUUAAAUGUACAGUUUUUUUUUGUGAUUAAUGCAAUAACUUACAUUACAUUACAUACAAAAAUUACCUAGUACUUACAAUGUUAACAUAACUUACAAUUUAACUAUA